CCUACGGGAUGCUGCAGUGAGGAAUAUUGGUCAAUGGACGGAAGUCUGAACCAGCCAUGCCGCGUGCAGGAAGACGGCUCUAUGAGUUGUAAACUGCUUUUGUACAAGGGUAAACCUGAAUACGUGUAUUCAGCUGAAAGUACUGUACGAAUAAGGAUCGGCUAACUCCGUGCCAGCAGCCGCGGUAAUACGGAGGAUCCAAGCGUUAUCCGGAUUUAUUGGGUUUAAAGGGUGCGUAGGCGGAUUGAUAAGUUAGAGGUGAAAUGUCCGAGCUUAACUCGGGAACUGGCUCUAAUACUGUUGAGUUAGAGAGUAGAUGCGGUAAGGGGAAUGUAUGGGGUAGGCGGGAAAUGCUUAGAGA
rnacentral:rRNA from 1 species